AAAGCAUGUAGGUUUUUCAGUUUUGACAUCUUUUGCUUUUACAAAAAAGUUCUUUAGAUAUUUUUGUUGUUUGCUAGUUUUGUAUCCUAAUCCGGCUUUAUUAAAAACAGCUCUUUGAUUGGAUAGAAUAAGAUUUAAUUUUUCCGAGCUAUAUGUAAAUUUCUGCACAAUUGGUUUAUACAUGUGUAGCUCAUCCUUAAGGUCCAAAUUUUCUUUAGCUAAUUCUUCCUUAUCAUUUUUAAGGGAUUCGACAUUUUGUGCAAGUGAAGUAUUACUAUUGAGUAGGAAUUUGACUCUUAGAUUUAAUUCC
rnacentral:lncRNA from 1 species